rnacentral:rRNA from 1 species
AUGCCAAGGACACCGAGGACGACAAUUUUACACCUUGUCCUAACCCUCUGCUGCAUCCUCUGGGGUCAAAACACUCCCUCUCUAGCUUCCACUGCCACUGCAAUCGAUGAAUUCCUUGGGUGCCUCUCGGCGGACAUCCCGUCUGGCCUCAUCCAGACCCCGGCAACCCCGUCGUCCUACUCUGCCCUCCUGCUGUCCACCGCCCGUAACCUCCGCUACAUCCUGCCAGACACCUCCAAGCCUCUAGGGAUCAUCGCGGCCACCGAGCACGCCCACGCGCAGACCACCGUGCGCUGCGGCCGCCGCCACGGCGUCCGCGUCCGCGUGCGCAGCGGCGGCCACGACUACGAGGGCCUCUCCUACGCCUCCGUCCACCUCCACAACCACAACGAGCCCUUCGCGGUGCUGGACCUCGCCGCUCUCCGGGCGAUCCACGUCGACCCGGCGCGAGCUGAGGCGUGGGCCGAGUCUGGCGCCACCGUCGGCGAGCUCUACUACGCCGUCGGCGCCGCCAGCCGCUCGCUCGGGUUCCCGGCGGGCUCCUGCCCCACCAUGGGCGUCGGUGGCCACCUCAGCGGCGGCGGGUUCGGCUCGCUGGCACGCAAGUACGGCCUCUGCGCCGACAACGUCCUCGACGCGGUCGUCGUGGACGCCGACGGAAGGCUGAUGAACAGGAGCAGCAUGGGGGAGGACCACUUCUGGGCUCUCCGUGGCGGAGGCGGCGAGAGCUUCGGCGUCGUGCUGUCGUGGAAGGUGCGGCUGGUCCCCGUGCCGGAGACCGUCACGGUGUUCAGCAUCGUCCGGUCAAGGAAUCAGUCCGCCAUCGAACUGAUCACCAAAUGGCAAGAGAUGGCGCCGGCUUCACCGCAAGAGCUGUACCUCCGCGUGCUCGUGCUGAACCAGCAGGCUAAUUUCCAGGCGCUGUUUCUCGGCCGGUGCGGCGGCCUCUACCGGCUCAUGCAAGACCACUUCCCCGAGCUUGGAAUGACGGAGCAAGACUGCGAGGAGGUGAGCUGGGUGCAGUCCACGGUCUUCUUCGGCUUCUCCACGACGUCCGUACCGCCGGAGCAGCUCCUCAACAGGAGCAGCAAUCCGAGCUACUAUCUCAAGGCCAAGUCGGACCACGUGCAAGAGCCCAUCCCAAGGGACGUGUGGGAGAUCAUAUGGACGGCGUGGCUGGAGAAGCCCGAGGCGGCGCUGCUCAUGCUGGACCCUUACGGCGGCGUGAUGAGCAGCAUCCCACCGUCGGAGACGCCGUUCCCGCACCGGCAGGGGAACCUCUACCAGCUCCAGUACUACUCCUUCUGGUACGAGAACGGGACGGCGGCGGCGGAGAAGCGAAUCAGCUGGGUCAGGGGGCUGUACAAGGAGAUGGAGCCUUACGUGUCCAGCAACCCAAGGGCUGUGUACGUCAACUACAGGGACCUUGACCUGGGCACGAAUGAGUUGGACGGUGACGUGACGAGCUACGAGAAGGCUAGAGUCAGCUGGGGAGACAAGUAUUUCAAGGGAAAUUUCAAGAGGUUGGCAGCUGUGAAGACCAUGGUGGAUCCCCAUGAUUUCUUCAGGAAUGAGCAGAGCAUCCCUCCUCUUCCCGCUGCCAAAAUGAUAGAUUCCAUUUGA